CGCCAUGAGGAUCGACAACAUACAAACUAACGUCGCUAAACGAGUUAGGUUAGACCGGAAUCCAAGUGGACUGAUGGCUAGACCGACACAGACAGAGACUGAGAGAGAUAUGGAGGGAAGGAGGGUGGAAGGGUCGCAGGGACGCAGGGACCCACUUACGGUAGCCCCCGGGGGAUUCCAUGAGGUCGAUGGAACUCGGAUUUAGCACGGGAAAGAUGGGGCUGUGGAGGAUGAGGAUGCACCUGGCUUGGUGGUCGAGGUUUCGGGCUUUUCGUCUUGUUUUCACGAAUCCUUUCCGAAUCGAGGUUGCGUGAAGCGGGCAUUCAAGGGUGACGAGAGUUUUGGAUUCGCCUAAAGCCCUUGACCCCGAGGGUUCGACUUCCACCUUCGUUGGGUAGAAUUGAAUUGCCUGGUGUCCCUUCCUUGGCUUCUAAUGGCGAGAAAAAGACGACGACCAGGCCGGUGGGCCGAAUUCGAUAUGGAUGGAUUGAGUACGAACCAUAGAAGAAAGAACAUAUCGGGAGCUAGUAACAAAAAAAGCAGUGCUGGGCUUGGGGAUUUCCCUCAAAACUUGAUAAGCGGCAUUUUAACCACCGUGUUCGUGCCUUUCGUUGAGGAUCGAGAGAAAGCUUGACUGAAGGAAAGAAGGAACUAAGGUAGCUAUCUAUGCAUGUGUGUUUGUGUGUGUG